rnacentral:tRNA from 1 species
UCCUGGUUAGCUCAGUUAGUAGAGCGCUCCUCUGAAAAUUGAGAAAUCCCUGAUUCGAUAGCAGGACCAGGCG